GGUUACCUUGCCAAGGCCUAAAACUGCCAAAGUUGUGACAAAAUGCAGUUAAGGCGAAACCUGCCAAUGCAGGGGAAAUUCCUUCCCGGUUCUGAAUUCAGCAACCAUCUUACGACCGCAGCAGUGCCCGCUGACCUGGAACGCAAAAUAUUAGCCUGUAAGGAAAAGAAUCAUUAACUUGAGGACCGCUAACCUAGGAUGAAAUUAUGGAGGCAAGAAAUUAUUAAUUUGAGGGAGGGUGGGUGCGUGCUCCUGGAAGGAAGAAUAGCAAAAGAGGCUUGGACAAAGAGUCAGCCUCUUUUCUUUUGGCCUUGGGCCGUCCAUUGUCCUCCCUGGCCGAGGGCGGGUCAAAGGCCGGCUCAAGCAGGUGGGUGGCACCCGCCCAGGUGAGCCCCGCUCGGUGCAGCAAACCCUGCCCACCUGUGGGGAAGGGAGGGUGGAUAUUCUGGAAUGGCUACCUGUCUGGCACUCAGGUAUCAGGAUGCCAGGGAUUAUCACUCAGGCAGAGGAGCUGAGCUCACAUGUCUACAGUGGUACCUCGGGCUACAUGCGCUUCAGGUUACAUACGCUUCAGGUUAUAGACUCCGCUAACCCAGAAAUAGGGCUUCAGGUUAAGAACGUUGCUUCAGGAUGAGAACAGAAAUCGUCCCCAUUAGCUAAAGUGGUGCUUCAGGUUAAGAACAGUUUCAGGUUAAGUACGGACCUCCAGAACAAAUUAAGUACUUAACCUGAGGUACCACGGUAUAUGAAUUUCUGAAGUUUUCCCAGUGAGCCAGUACAGAGAUACAUUGAUCAGUGAAUUCUUACAUUUGGUAUCGUGCAGCAGAGGCCCUUUGAAUAGACAGGAAGAAACUGUGAUGAAGUGUUUUGUGGGGACAAAUCACCAAAGUCACAGAAGUGAUGGCGCUGAUUUUGGUAGUUGGUGCAUGAUAUCUGCUGGAGGGGCAACAUCCCCCCAACCUAUACAUAAAUUCCUGCAACAGAGGCAAGUCGGGGUGGGGUGGGGGAAACGAGACCUUGCCCAAACACACACAAACACACACGCCUCGUGCUCCUUCCUUGAGUCCUGCGGCCACAGGAAACAGGUGCCCAGGCCUCUCUCCAAGCCAGCAGAACCGCCUUCUCCGCUGGUGAGUCAUCCCAGGGCAGAACGGCCGCCAGCGCCCAUCGUCACCCUGGCACAAGGCCCUUUUCCUUCCUGUUCAUCUCGCUUGUUCUGUGUAAGCGCCGUCGCGGUUUCAUCGAGGCGGACAAAAAAAAAAUCACCUUUUGCAGAAAUGGUUUCCAGACAUGGAAGUCACGACAAGGCGCGAAUCAUUUCAAAGCAGUGGAAAUCCACGAAUGGGGUGACUCCAGUCCCGGAUUUACGUAUAAGCUAAACAAGCUAUAGCUUAGGGCUCCAUUCUUUUGGGGACUCCCCCAAAAUAUACUUCUUCUGUGGGUUACAAAAUCACAGAGCCUAGGGCUUGCUGAUCAGAAGGUCGGCGGUUCGAAUCCCCACGACGGGGUGAGCUCCUGUUGCUUGGUCCCUGCUCCUGCCAACCUAGCAGUUCGAAAGCACAUCAAAGUGCAAGUAGAUCAAUAGGUACCACUCCGGCGGGAAGGGAAACAGCGUUUCCGUGCGCUGCUCUGGUUUGCCAGAAGCGGCUUAGUCAUGCUGGCCACGUGACCCGGAAGCUGUACGCCGGUUCCCUCGGCCAGUAAAGCGAGAUGAGCACCGCAACCCCAGAGUCAGCCACGACUGGACCUAAUGGUCAGGGGUCCCUUUACCUUUUUAAUUAAUAUACUACUUCUUAAUUGUAUCUCAGUUCCACAAUUACUUUGAUCAAAUACAUAUUUUGCUUGGAACCCAAACAUUUCAAACCCGGAAGUAAGUGUUCCAGUUUGCGAACUUUUUUUCGGAAACCGAACGUGCUCCGUUUGGAGUGUUACGCUUCUGUUUUGAGUGUUACGCUGAGGUCUGUUUGUUUUUGCUAUUUAUUUUGAGGUUUUGUUUUCGCUCUUUUUCGUUUUGUUUUUGUGACUGUGUGGAACCCAAUCCAGCUACUGAUUGACUGAUUGGUUGUGUGACUGCGGUACAUUGUUUAUUGCUUUCAUUUUUUGGAUCAAUGGUCUCGUCAGAGAGUAAAAUCCAUGUUAAAUUUGCCGUUUUAGGGGUUGUUUUUAAAAGUCUGGAACGGAUUGAUCCGUUUCCCACUACUUUCCGUGGGAAAGCGCACCUCGGUUUUGGAACGCUUUGGUUUUGGAACGGACUUCCUGAACGGAUUCAGUUUGAGAACCAAGGUACCACUGGAGGUUGCUCUGUGCCAUCAAAUAAAUGGGUAGGCCUUCCGUCAGCUGGCUGCUAGGCGGGGGAGCAAGAGGCAGAGUUUGGGCCAUAGCUGUCAACUUUCCCCUUUUCUUGCGAGGAAUCCUAUUUGGAAUAAGGGAAUUUCCCUUUAAAAAAGGGAAACAUUGACAGCUAUGGUUUGGGCUGUGAGCUGAGCUGGGAAAUAGGAUGGAAGGUGGAGACACAGAGCCCCAGCUUUGUGCUGGGUCCAAAUCUGCGACUAAACGGCAAAGCAAGGUCUGUUGGGGUGUUGAUGCUGUGAGCCUCUCCCUCCUCUGCUCAGGUUGCGCACAUGCGUAAAUAAAACUAUAUAUCCCAAGGAUGCCACAGGCUCCGUGAACAAGCUGAUGUCCGUAAAGGAUAUGUCAAAAGGUUAUUUAUGUCCGCCGCUACUGCGGCCCGUGUUCCAAAAAUGGAAAAUGAGCGAGGUCCCAACCGAAGAAGAAUGACAACUUAAACUGGCGGAAUAUGCGCAGCUUGCGCACCUAACAUAUAGAGUAAGACCGUGGGGUCCAAACUUUUUUCAAAGAGGGCCGGUUUUGAAGAAGUGAAGAGCCAUGAGGGCCAACCAAAAUUAGUCACCUUUUUUUAGGGUUGAAUUUGUUGGUCUUUUUUAGGAUUUUACCCUAAAGUUGUGUUGUUGUUGCGUUUUUUUUUAGGAUUGAACUUGUUUUUUAGGGUUGAAAUUCUUGAGCUUUUUCUGGGAUUGAAGCUUUUUUGGGGAUUUUACCCCAGGAAAUAAACUGCCCACGGAGGCCAGAUUAAUCCAAUCGGCAGGGCUGAAUUAGGCCCCCAAAAUGGACUUUGGACAUGCCUGGAAUAAGGGAACAAGAAAAACAUACGUUUAGAGAAGAUUGGAAAAUGUUAAUUGAAUAUAUGGGGGGGAUUGUUUACACUUGAAAAAGCUGGCAACAUUAAGAUAAAUUCAACAGCGUAAACAAGUUUUGAUGGAUUCAGUAAGGGAAUGCUGAAUGGUUCGUUGCUGUUGUUUAGUUGUUUAGUAGUGUCCGACUCUUCAUGACCCCAUGGACCAGAGCACGCCAGGCACUCCUGUCUUCCACUGCCUCCCACAGUUUGGUCAGACUCAUGCUGGUAGCUUCGAGAACACUGUCCCACCAUCUCGUCCUCCGCCGUCCCCUUCUCCUUGCACCCUCCAUCUUUCCCAACAUCAGGAUCUUUCCCAGGGAGUCUUCUCUUCUCAUGAGGUGGCCAAAGUCUUGGAGCCUCAGCUUCAGGAUCUGUCCUUCCAGUGAGCACUCAGGGCUGAUUUCCUUCAGAAUGGAGAGGUUUGAUCUUCUUGCAGUCCAUGGGACUCUCAAGAGUCUCCUCCAGCACCAGAAUUCAAAAGCAUCCAUUCUUGGGUGAUCAGCCUUCUUUAUGGUCCAGCUCUCACUUCCAUACAUCACUACUGGGGAAACCAUGGCUUUAACUAUACGGACCUUUGUUGGCAAGGUGAUGUCUCUGCUUUUUCAGAUGCUGUCUAGGUUUGACAUUGCUUUUCUCCCAAGAAGCAGGCGUCUUUUAAUUUCGUGACUGCUGUUACCAUCUGCAGUGAUCACGGAGCCCAAGAAAGUAAAAUCUCUCACUGCCUACCUUUCUUCCCCUUCUAUUUGCCAGGAGGUGAUGGGCCCAGUGGCCAUGAUCUUCGUUUUUAAUGCAGGGAUUUAUGAUAUGCAAAACGAACCAUGGAAAGAGAAGAAGGGAAGGCAUGGAUAUUUUAAGGUUGUCUACAUGUAUAUUUUAAAUUGUGAAGCAGAAAAUUUAAUAAAAAUUAUACGUAUAUUAAAAAAUGAUAGGCCAAUGUUGUGAUUGUGGUGCCUGCGCUGUCGUUGUGUGUCAGGGGCUGGGAGGAUAACGGAUUGGGACCUCAUCCUUUCUCUCCCCUUCCAAAUCCUUUCUCCGCAGGAAGUGGGUUGCUCCGGCACGGCGCUAAAAAUAUCCCAGCAGG